rnacentral:tRNA from 1 species
UCCCUGGUGGCUCAGACAGUAAAGAAUCUGCCUGUAAUGUAGGGGACCUAGGUUCAAUUCCUGGUUUGGGAA